rnacentral:rRNA from 1 species
GACGAACGCUGGCGGCGUGGAUUAGGCACGCAAGUCGAACGGUAUCAUCCUUCGGGGGUGAGAGAGUGGCGAACUGGUGAGUAACACGUAGGUUAUCUACCCUCAAGACGGGGACAACCCAGGGAAACUUGGGCUAAUACCGGAUGUGAGCAACUUUUAGUGUUUGAAAGGUGGCGUAAGCUGUCGCUUGGGGAUGAGCCUGCGUCCUAUUAGUUAGUUGGUGAGGUAACGGCUCACCUAGGCAAUGAUAGGUAGGCGGCCUUAACGGGUGGUCGCCCACACUGGGAUUGAGAUACGGCCCAGACUCCUACGGGAGGCAGCAGUCGAGAAUAGUCUACAAUGGUCGGAAGACUGAUAGUGCGACGCCGCGUGAACGAUGAAUCCCUUCGGGGUGUAAAGUUCUUUUAUAUGUGAGCAGUGCUUCUUAUAUUAACAGUAUGGGGAGAGAGAUAUUAGCAUAUGAAUAAGCAACGGCUAACUCCGUG